rnacentral:tRNA from 1 species
GGAUGUGUGCCUGAAUUAAAGGACUACUUUGAUAGAGUAGAACAUAGGGACUUAAAUCUCCCUCACCU